CCUCUGAACCAACUCAUUUCUCUUCUCCAUUUCAACCUUCUUUCCUCCUGUUCUCACUCGAUCUUCAACCUUUUUUUUAUUGGAGGCCGUUCUUGGAAGCACUGAGGAGUCAUCUAUCUUGUCCACUUAUCAAAACCUUGGUUAGUAGGGGUGAAGGGAGGGUUCCUAAGAGCACAAUCUGUCUUAUGAAGUUCUUAGCAAAUGUAAAUUGGUAUUUUGAGGGUGAAACCAAUGGCUUUGCAGAGCAGUAGAGACCACCACAAGUGCAAGUUUUUAGUAAAUCUGAUUUCAUUACAUGUAUACAGAUGAGGAGAUACUUGUUGAUCCUGAUAAGGUGGAAGGAGAUGUUGCUGUCUAGAUUAGAUGUUUUGACUAAUUAUCUUCUUUGAGCAUCCUUUUGAAGGACUUUUCUUAUGUUUUUC